GAUCAAGCGAAAAAGAGCGUAUGGUGGAUGCCUUGGCAUUAGACGCCGAUGAAGGACGCGGUAAGCUGCGAAAAGCUGCGGGGAGUCGCAAACAGACUUUGAUCCGCAGGUGUCCGAAUGUGGGAACACACUAGCAUUAGCCUGCUAGUAUCGUUACAUAAAUACAUAGUGUAACGAAGGGAACCCUGGGAACUGAACCAUCUAAGUACCAGGAGGAAAAGAAAGUAAAUUAACGAUUACCUAAGUAGUGGCGAGCGAACGGGUA
rnacentral:rRNA from 1 species